GGCAGCAGCCCCAGGAGUGACCCCAAAGGUCCUGUGGGGGCUGGAGACUGGGACCAGCAGGGCCAGGGAAUGGCAUUAAAUAAAUACAUAGCAGGCUGCAGUGUCACAACAAGGAGAUGUACAAUUACGAAGAAAAAAUACCCCAAGGAAAUCAACACGAGGCUUAUUAAUAUCCAGGCCUGCAGAAGACAACUGUCAGACAAUUGGUCAACAAGGUGUGUUUGCUGGCUGCUGCACUGAGAAGAAGAAGGGUCACCGUGCCCUUUUUGCAACAAUGGCUUUGGAAGCUCUCCCACCUCUCAGCCUGGCUGGACUUCUCCUGAGUUCUGGGUGGUCCCCCCACAGCAGACCCUCACCUGUUUUACAACCACCGUGACAGACAGACUGAGAUGUGAGGAGCCUCUCCAUCAAGGACUGAGACAUGGAACCCCCAUGUGAAAAGGCCCCUCUGCUCCUCCCAAGGACUGAGACAUGGAACCCCCCUGUGAAAA